rnacentral:snoRNA from 1 species
CUACAAAGAAAGAUGAACAAUUACGGAUGUAAAUGAGCUGUAGCUCAGUCCGAGAGCGCAUAAUUCGUGUGGAUUGCUCCGUUGCCUUCCUGCUGACGUU